CCGCUUCAGUUGCACCUAUCUAGUCUCUUGGAGGGAUGCCUACUGGUUCUACCCGGCUGUGAGCUCAGAGAAAAGCUUUUCCAUCUUCAAAAAAGCUAAUACGGACCUGAGACUACACAGAGAGCGUGCAACACAUUUUUCAUUAGACUUACUAAAUUUCAUCCAUUCCAGAUAUCACCAUGAAAUCCAACUACAUCUCGAAAGCCCACAAUCUUUCAACGCAGAAGUAGAAAAGUACUUCGGAAUCUAAGGAGUACAAUUGCAGAAUUUCUCGACACAGUGAGCACAAGAAGGUAAAAGAAUGAGACAACAUCAGAGCUCAAAGGACUGCUGAGAAUGGCUCCCUCCCAGCUCAGCUUCCUCCUGUUUCCUGUGUGGUGACUGUGGCCCAGAGAAUUUGGGUCGUCUGCACAGUACCUGGCCCCCUCUCUCUCGCAGCAGACUGGUUGUGGAAAAUGGUUAACCCACAGACUCUAUAUCAGUUUCUUUUGCUCUAUCUCCAAUUCACACAGUUUGCAAAGAACCUGCAGCCAGUAGGUUAAGACAAUCAUGAGUUGUCCAGCAUGGAAAGGCAAAAACAGUCGUGGAAUGAAACAAAGCUAUCAAUGCUGCUCUGAACAGAUAUUUAACUUUCUUUGAGACUUCAAAGAAAAAAAUGAAUUAACUCAUUUCAAAUUUGUUUAGAUUGGUUUGGAAUCUUUUUCUUUAUCUUACUGUCUCCUUGGCCCUUAUAUCUCAACUCUGGCACCACCCUCCUUAGAUUUCUUUCCUUCUUCUUUCUUGACUUGACGUGCUUAUGAAUCAGUGUGUUAACUUGACAAGUUUCUGUGAUUCCAAGUUCCCUAGAUUCUCCAUGGAGAGAUACAUCUUAUUUCCUACUGACCUCAAAUAAUUAAAAUAGGACUGGGACCAUUACUCAAAAC
rnacentral:lncRNA from 1 species